UUAAAUUGAAGAGUUUGAUCAUGGCUCAGAUUGAACGCUGGCGGCAGGCCUAACACAUGCAAGUCGAACGGUAACAGGAAGCAGCUUGCUGCUUCGCUGACGA
rnacentral:rRNA from 10 species